GGGGAGAGGAGACAAACCUAGGGUUUUUAGAGAGAGUGGGCAGCAACCAAGACAUGGCUGCACGAAUCGAAAAAAAAAAACAAAAGGAAGAGAAUCAUGGAUCGGGAGGAGGAAAGGGAAGGGAAGUCAUCCUUAGUUCGUGUGCUACUCCCUCCGUGUCAGUAUUUGGUUUUUGAGCGUUGUUAACACAAGGGUGAGGAAGAUAUUGAGGUAGUAGGCUCUGACACUUGAGUGGAUCCGGACCAUAGCAGUGGACUCCCGAAGACCUUUCAUUUCUAUGUAAAACUAAAAAUAAUAAAAUUUGACAGGAGG